GGUGAACGCUGGCGGCGUGCCUAAUACAUGCAAGUCGAACGACCGGACGGGAAGCUUGCGCCUCUACCGUUGGCGGGUGGCGGAUGGGUAACGAGUGCAUAACAUCCCUCUAAUACUGAGGGGACUACGUAAGAACGGUUCUGCUAACAGCGAAUAUGUUCAACGGGAUGAUUCAGUAGUUCAAGGGAGUUUUCCUGUCUCUAUUAGACGGAUCCGCGCCGCAUUAGCUAGUUGGUAAGGUAACGGCUUACCAAGGCAACGAUGCGUAGCCGACCUGAGAGGGUGAUCGGCCACACUGGAACUGAGACACGGUCCAGACUCCUACGGGAGGCAGCAGUAGGGAAUCUUCCGCAAUGGGCGAAAGCCUGACGCAGCAAUGCCGCGUGAGUGAUGAAGGUCUUCGGAUCGUAAAACUCUGUUAUUAGGGAAGAACAAAUGCGUAAGUAACUACGCCCGUCUUGACGGUACCUAAUCAGAAAGCCCCGGCUAACUACGUG
rnacentral:rRNA from 1 species